GCCACCGCCAUCUGGGCCCCCAACCUGUGGAUCACCUUGAAUUUAAAAGGCUGUAAAGCGAGAUACCAACGGGUGAUCCGCGCGUUGGUAUCCUUCAUGCGCUUUCGACUUAGAUACAGCACCGGCCGCUCCUCUCCUGCGACCACCUGAGACAGGACUGCACCCAGCCCCCUGUCCGACGCAUCCGGCAGCCUUUACCUUGGUUAGGGCUUGUUGGCACGGCUCCGUCCACUGGACCGGAUCUGGUGCUUCCUUUUUGGUGAGAUCAGUCAGCGGGCUGGUGAGCUCCAAAUAUUUAGGAAUAAACCUUCUAUAAUAUCCCGCCAGCCCCAGGAACUGUCUCACUUCCUUUUUGGUCUUGGGGCUUGGGCAAGCUGCAAUUGCUGCUGUCUUGUCAAUUUGGGGACGCACCUGCCCAUGCCCCAAGUGGAAGCCCAGAUACCGUACCUCCACCCGCCCAA